UCUUAGCUGCUUCGUGUCUUCUUCUCCAGCCUCUGUGGCCCUGUGACCUGCAGGUAUUGGGAGAUCCACAGCUGAGGGACCCCCGGAAGCCUAGAAAUGGCCAGGCGCGGUGGCUCACGCCUGUAAUCUCAUCUGCUCGGCCACCCUGUCCCGGCCCUGAAGCGAUGUAAGCAAGAAGCUGCCCUGCUGGAACUGCUCCUUCGGGAGACUGCUGAUUUUGGCAUUCUUUUUCCUUUCAUCGUAUUUCCUCUUUUUUUUUUUUUUUGAGAUGAAGUUUCUCUCUUAUUGCCCAGGCUGGAGUGCAAUGGCACAAUCUCGGCUCACUGCAACCUCCGCCUCCUGGGUUCAAGCGAUUCUCCUGCCUCAGCCUCCCGAGUAGCUGGGAUUACAGGCAUGCACCACCACACCUGGCUAAUUUUGUAUUUUUAGUAGAGACAGAGUUUCUCCAUGUUGAGGCUGCAAGAAUUGCAGGUCAGCAAGAAUUGCUGCCCAGGGGCAGCACAUAAUGGGACUAGUACCACCGUCCUGACGGUGUGCUGUUGAUGAGCACGAUGCAAUUCUUCACCAGGGUCUUGGUACGGACUAGCUCGUUAUUAGAUGUAUUGUAGACAACAUGGACGAUCCUUGUUUUA
rnacentral:lncRNA from 10 species